CAGCGCCGCGGUAAUACGUAGGUGGCAAGCGUUGUCCGGAAUUAUUGGGCGUAAAGCGCGCGCAGGCGGAUAGGUCAGUCUGUCUUAAAAGUUCGGGGCUUAACCCCGUGAUGGGAUGGGAACUGCCAAUCUAGAGUAUCGGAGAGGAAAGUGGAAUUCCUAGUGUAGCGGUGAAAUGCGUAGAUAUUAGGAAGAACACCAGUGGCGAAGGUGACUUUCUGGACGAAAACUGACGCUGAGGCGCGAAAGCCAGGGGAGCGAACGGGAUUAGAUACCCGUGUAGUCCCUGUCUCUUAUACAC
rnacentral:rRNA from 1 species